GACGAACGCUGGCGGCGUGCUUAACACAUGCAAGUCGAACGGAAAGGCCCUGCCUUUGUGGGGUGCUCGAGUGGCGAACGGGUCAGUAACACGUGAGUAACCUGCCCUUGACUUUGGGAUAACUUCAGGAAACUGGGGCUAAUACCGGAUAGGAGCUCCUGCUGCAUGGUGGGGGUUGGAAAGUUUCGGCGGUUGGGGAUGGACUCGCGGCUUAUCAGCUUGUUGGUGGGGUAGUGGCUUACCAAGGCUUUGACGGGUAGCCGGCCUGAGAGGGUGACCGGCCACAUUGGGACUGAGAUACGGCCCAGACUCCUACGGGAGGCAGCAGUGGGGAAUAUUGCACAAUGGGCGGAAGCCUGAUGCAGCAACGCCGCGUGCGGGAUGACGGCCUUCGGGUUGUAAACCGCUUUCGCCUGUGACGAAGCGUGAGUGACGGUAAUGGGUAAAGAAGCACCGGCUAACUACGUG
rnacentral:rRNA from 1 species